rnacentral:rRNA from 1 species
UACGGGGGGGGGCAAGCGUUUGUUCGGAAUUACUGGGCGUAAAGGGCUCGUAGGCGGCCAACUAAGUCGGAUGUGAAAUCCCCAGGCUUAACCUGGGAACUGCAUCCGAUACUGGAUGGCUUGAAUCCGGGAGAGGGAUGCGGAAUUCCUGGUGUAGCGGUGGAAUGCGCAGAUAUCAGGAGGAACACCGGUGGCGAAGGCGGGUCUCUGGGCAGUGAACUGACGCUGGAGGAGCGAAAGUGUGGGGAGCGAACAGG